UACGUAGGGGGGCAAGCGUUGUCCGGAUUCAUUGGGCGUAAAGAGCGUGUAGGCGGCCAGGUAGGUCGGUUGUGAAAACUGGAGGCUCAACCUUCAGACGUCGACCGAAACCAUCUGGCUAGAGUCCGGGAGAGGAGAGUGGAAUUCCUGGUGUAGCGGUGAAAUGCGCAGAUAUCAGGAAGAACACCCGUGGCGAAAGCGGCUCUCUGGAACGGUACUGACGCUGAGGCACGAAGGCCAGGGGAGCAAACGGG
rnacentral:rRNA from 1 species